AGAGAGAGACAUGCGCGCAUAUCAAUAAGCGGAGGAAAAGAAACUAACAAGGAUUCCCUUAGUAACGGCGAGUGAAGCGGGAAGAGCUCAAAUUUGAAAUCUUCAAGGUUUUACCUUGACGAAUUGUAGUUUAAAGAAGUGCUUUCUGUUGAAGUUUUGGUAAAAGUUCUUUGGAAUAGGACAUCAUAGAGGGUGAGAAUCCCGUAUUUGACCAUUAUUUUCCAGCUGUGUGAUACACUUUCAAAGAGUCGGAUUGUUUGGGAAUGCAGUCCAAAAUGGGUGGUAAAUUUCAUCUAAAGCUAAAUACUGGCGAGAGACCGAUAGCGAACAAGUACCGUGAGGGAAAGAUGAAAAGAACUUUGAAAAGAGAGUUAAACAGUACGUGAAAUUGUCAAAAGGGAAGCGUUUGACACCAGUGUUGUUUUCUCGAAAAUCAAUUACGAAUGUUUUGUUUUUGAGGAGUUAUGACUUCAUCGGCUUGCUCCUUUCUUUACGAAACUUUCUUAAUGCACUUUUCGGUUAACAAGUCAACCUCAAUUUCUUUUGUUGUAAAAGGGUAUGAGGAAGGUGGCUUUCUUUUCGGAGAAAGUGUUUAUAGCCUUGUACCUCUGCAAUCGGAGAGAUUGAGGUCCUGCAGCGUAGAUCCUUCGGGGUUAAAUACAUUUGUGCUAAGUUAUAGCUUUUCAUAGACAACUUGUUGACUAUGUUUAGUCUUGUAGCUUACUCGCUUAUGCUAUUUUACCUACGCUUAGGAUGUUGAUCUGUAGUGCGUGCGC
rnacentral:rRNA from 1 species